rnacentral:rRNA from 1 species
GACGAACGCUGGCGGCGUGCUUAACACAUGCAAGUCGAACGGAAAGGCCCUGCUUUUGUGGGGUGCUCGAGUGGCGAACGGGUGAGUAACACGUGAGUAACCUGCCCUUGACUUUGGGAUAACUUCAGGAAACUGGGGCUAAUACCGGAUAGGAGCUCCUGCUGCAUGGUGGGGGUUGGAAAGUUUCGGCGGUUGGGGAUGGACUCGCGGCUUAUCAGCUUGUUGGUGGGGUAGUGGCUUACCAAGGCUUUGACGGGUAGCCGGCCUGAGAGGGUGACCGGCCACAUUGGGACUGAGAGACGGCCCAGACUCCUACGGGAGGCAGCAGUGGGGAAUAUUGCACAAGGGGCGGAAGCCUGAUGCAGCAACGCCGCGUGCGGGAUGACGGCCUUCGGGUGGUAAACCGCUUUCGCCUGUGACGAAGCGUGAGGGACGGUAAUGGGUAAAGAAACACCGGCUAACUACGU